rnacentral:rRNA from 1 species
GGCGCAAGCCUGAUCCCAGCCAAUGCCGCGUGCAGGAAAGAAGCCUUUCGGGUUGUAAACCGGUUUUUGUCAGGGAAGAAAUCUUCUGGGUUAAUACCUCGGGAGGAUGACGGUACCUGAAGAAUAAGCACCGGCUAACUACGUGCCAGCAGCCGCGGUAAUACGUAGGGGUGCGAGCGUUAAUCGGAAUUACUGGGCGUAAAGCGUGCGCAGGCGGUUUUGCAAGACAGAUGUGAAAUCCCCGGGCUCAACCUGGGAACUGCAUUUGUGACUGCAAGGCUAGAGUACGGCAGAGGGGGAUGGAAUUCCGCGUGUAGCAGUGAAAUGCGUAGAUAUGCGGAGGAACACCGAUGGCGAAGGCAAUCCCCUGGGCCUGUACUGACGCUCAUGCACGAAAGCGUGGGGAGCAAACA